CUUUGCUUUUUGAUGAAUGAUCAUACCCCUUGAACUUGGCCAGUCAUCAUGUGUAUUAUAGAAUGAUGAAAAGAUGCCACCACCUUACCAUUUACACACAGCAAAUAACACAAGUCCACGUGACUUCGUAUGGCCUAUAAAUAGAGUGCAGGGGAAAGGGUAUUUGCAUGACAUGAAUCCAAUCGACAAUUUUGUCUAAAAAUGAAGGCGAUCAUUCUCAUUUGCGUUCUAUUAGCCUCCCUUCUUUUCUCCUUUCCUUCAGUUAUUGUGGCUCGCGAAUUACUAGCUGAUCAGGAUGCAUCUACUGGAGGAACCGCGAACCCCAGCGCGCAACCCAAAAGUAUCAUGUGGAAAGCCUAGCGAUCCUCGAUAUAGUUCUUGCGUGGGAAAGCCAAAGCCCACCAAAUGUGGUAAAAAAACCGCAUAUGGCCGUUGCAAGCCACCGCAGGGAACUUGAAUCAGUACUACUUAUUAUGGCGUGGUGAAAGUACGCAUAAAGUUACUUGUAAUGCUGUGAGAAUAAAUAGGAUUUGGUUUGAUACCACUAAUAUUGUGAUGGAGCUUGGUCUUCAUCAUUUGUAGUGUGAAAAUAUAAAUAUGUAAACUAUGCAUCUUGAUAUAUAUGAUGUGCACCAAUAAAAAAUAGCUGACCAACUUAGUUUUGGUAAA